UUAAUUCAAAGUCAAAAUACUCAAAAUUAAAAAUCUAAUUAUUAUUUUACUCUAAAAAAAAGUUGUAGUGCGUGGUUGGUUGGACCAGGCCGUGUUAGCUUAUUUAGAUCAAUAACACAAUUGGUGUUGAAUCAUUUUGAUAAAUAUAACUUAUGAAUAUUCUCAUCUAAACUUAUGAAUAUUUUUUAUGGAUAAUUUAAUAUGGAUGCUGUGAAAUUACUUAAAUUUUUGCUUAUGAAAAUAGUAUUAGUAGUGAUGAUAAUAAUAAUAAUGAGAGAGAUUCUAUCAUUAGCGCAUUUCACCAAACGGACAAUGCAUAUCAUAAUUAUGGAUAUAUAUCACUGUGGGCUCCUUCAUUAUUUUGUCUGCAAGAUUCUUCGCUAUGAUUUUGCUUCUGAAAAUGACUGUUUUGUCAAUGCAUGAUGAGCAUUCAAAACCAUGACAAACAUUUGUAAUAACUAUAACGGUGUUUUAUUUUUUAUUUUUUAUCUUUUUGAGUGAGAUAUUAUUAAGGUUAGGUAAAAGGAUAAACUAUGGUUUGAAGUUGAAGCCUUUGACUAAUUUCAGUAGGGAGUGUAAUGAUAUACAUUUUAUGAUUAAAAGAUUGAUAACUUUAACAAUAAUAUAAUAUACAAAAGCGAGUGCAAUGUACAUUCCAGAAAAUUAAAGGAAAAGUUUAGGGAAUCAUCAACUUUGUUAAAUUCUGGCCAGCAUGUAACUAGCAAAGAAAAGUGAGCUAUUGGAUGAAAUCUCACAUCAAUCUCACACCAUUAAAACCAUCAUUGAUAGCUAUUUAAUAACUACAAAUUACAAAAGUUGCUGGUCCUAACAUUCCUCAAAAUUAAAAGGUUAUCCUUUAAAUUAUAUCACCCCUCAAGAUUUAUCUUAAAAUGUUUAAUGGUCUAGUGCUUGUAUACCAGUAAUUUAAACAAAAAAAAAAGUAAUAAUAAGAUAAUUAUGUUCGUUGACUAAGAAGGAUAUGUAUACUAUUACAAUUCUUCAUGGCUUGAUUUUCUUUUUCUCUUAAAGACCUACAAGUAGUAUAUCCCAAAUUAUUUAAGAAUUUAUUUAA
rnacentral:lncRNA from 1 species